CAGCCGCCGCGGUAAUACGUAGGGUGCGAGCGUUAAUCGGAAUUGCUGGGCGUAAAGCGUGCGCAGGCGGUUUGUUAAGACAGAUGUGAAAUCCCCGGGCUUAACCUGGGAACUGCAUUUGUGACUGGCCGGCUAGAGUAUGGCAGAGGGAGGUGGAAUUCCACGUGUAGCAGUGAAAUGCGUAGAUAUGUGGAGGAACACCGAUGGCGAAGGCAGCCUCCUGGGCCAAUACUGACGCUCAUGCACGAAAGCGUGGGGAGCAAACAGGAUUAGAUACCCGUGUAGUCCCUGUCUCUUAUAU
rnacentral:rRNA from 1 species